ensembl:lncRNA
GGACUCGCCAAGUUCUAGGAAUGCUCACCCUUUGGCUCAGAAGGAUUUCCCCUCCCAUAGAGGGGGUUGUGGGAAAGGCUCAGAAAAACCGUAUUAAAAACCCUUCCAACUUCCCCAACGGGCCCUGGCCUCUCAUCUGCUGACCCCAGCCGCCCAGGCGGCCUCGCCUGCUCUCCCCCCAUCAGGGCUGAGUCUCUGGCCCCCGCAGGCCCCGGGGAGCCUCCAGCGCCGUUUCCGCUCUGGCAGCCAGGUGGACAAAGAGUUACGGGAUGGAGAGCCGGAAGGGGCCGUCAGACUGGAGGCUCGGUGACAGCGACCCUGAGGAGCUAACAUCUGAGCUGAGACCACCCCUCCCCCCACCCCAGGGCAUGAAGAAUCCAGGCGUGACAAGGUCUGAGGGAAAGGUGUUCCAGGCCAAAGGAACAGCCAGUGCAGGGGUCCGGAGAUUUCUCUGAGGCCCGAAGCGGUUUCCUUUCUCGCUGAAUUUCUUCUCGCCGCGCGUCCCCUCCAGCGUCCAGUUUCUCGUUUCAGCGCUCUCCGCGAUGGAGACGUCGCACCUUCGUUUCUGUUUUCCUUAGAAAGGCGAGAGGUUUCCGAGGAGCCCCUGCCGCCGCCUUGCCCUAGAUUCGGAGAGCCUCGCAGCUCGGCCCGUGAUCGCAUCUCUGCGGCUCCUCCCCCUUCACAGGCCGCCGCGAGCAAGAGGUUUAGGCCGAUUGCCCCGAAACGGGCAGGGCCGGCGCCCAGCAGGUCCCCCUGCGGGGACAGACGCUGACCCCGAGGGCACCUGCUGCCUGCCCGGUUCCGGCCCAGGCUCUCCGGAUUAAUAGCAGCAACGAAACAAUAGUCAACGACCAUAUCGACAGGCAUGACUGUAAGUGGAUGUGAGUCGUACGUCCCUCAGGGGUGGCUGUGGAGCAUGCUGGUUACAGAGACUUGCCCUGUGGGAGACAGACCCUCACGCCCAUUGUACAGAUGAGGACCCUGAGGCUGGAGAGCGAAGACUCCUCCCAAGGUUACCAGCCGGUGCGUGGAGGCCUCGAUGUCCACAUCUGUGGAGUGUGCUUCUGCAGACCCGUCCUCCCCCUGCUGGGAACACGGUCUGGGCCACAGCCCGCUCCAGGCGCCAGCCACAAAGACGCUCCGCUGGUCACAGCAGCCAAGGCUGGAAACAACCUAACAUCCGUCAGCGAUGAAAGGACAAAGGAGGCGGCAUGUCCACACGGCGGGACAGGAUUCAGCCACAAAGGAACAGGGUACGACACGCGCUGGAACAGGGUCGGACCCUGAAAACGUGAUGCUCCGUGAACAGAGCCAGACUCCAGAGGCCACGUGCUGUGUGAUUCCACGCAUGGAAACAUCCAGAACACGUGAACCCCUGGAGACAGGGAGCAGACGGGUGGUGGCCGGGGCUGGGGGAGGGGACGGGGAGCGAGGCUGAUGGGGACGGGCUCUUACUUUGGGGUGAUGGAAACGUUCUCAAAUUCAACUGAGGCGGUAGCUGCACUACCUUGUGAACAGACUAAAUGCCACCGAUUGUCCACUUGCUUUUACUUUUGCUGGUGACUUUUUAAAUUUGGAAGCUGUAUCUUUUUUUUUAAAUCUAUUUUCAGCUUUAUUGAGGUGUAAUGGACGAACAAAAUUGUAACAUAUUUCCAGUAUCCACGUGACAAUGGGAUACGUGUCUGCACUGUGAAAGGGUUCCUCCCCUCUAGUUAAUUCACACGUUCAUCAUUCUAUACAGAUUUGUUUUGGGGAGAAUAUCGAAGUUCUGCUGCCUUUGCAAAUUUCAAUUCUAUAAUUCAGUGUUACCAACACGUCUCCAUGUUAUACGUUAUGUUCACUUUAAAAUGAUUUUUUAAUGUGAAUUUCACCUCAAUUAAAAAAUAAAUAAUAAGGAAUAAUAAUUUUUAAAAGAUGCCAGGGCCUUGCUCCGAUUUCUGCCUUUUUCGCCCAGGUCAAAUCUCAACUCUAGCAUGAGGGGCUCUGAGAGCCAAGACUCACAGACCUCUGGGAAGUUUUACCCACACCAAAGCCCAAAUGUCCUUGUACCUGGCAUUUUCCUCAACUGGCAAGCAUCUAGAUUAGGGGGAAAUCCCAGCUUGCCUUUCCUGGCUGAGGAGUUAUGGCAGCAUCAGGUAUAGCUGGAUCCAGGAGCUCAGCAGAUAUCAGAUAUCAUCAGGUACCUGUCUCUCUCCACGUCGUGGCUGUGGCCCCGCUUUCCUCUGUGCUGGCUUCACUAUCAGGCAGGCUCUAGAAUUCAACUGCUUCUCUCCACCUCCACUGCCUCUGCUUUGCUCUUAGCUACCAUCAUCUUUUGCCUGGACUACUGCAAUACCUUCCUCCCUGGUCUCCUGGGGCCUCUAC